CUGGGCGUAAGCGCACGCAGGCGGUCUGUCAAGUCGGAUGUGAAAUCCCCGGGCUCAACCUGGGAACUGCAUUCGAAACUGGCAGGCUAGAGUCUUGUAGAGGGGGGUAGAAUUCCAGGUGUAGCGGUGAAAUGCGUAGAGAUCUGGAGGAAUACCGGUGGCGAAGGCGGCCCCCUGGACAAAGACUGACGCUCAGGUGCGAAAGCGUGGGGAGCAAACAGGAUUAGAUACCCUGGUAGUCCACGCCGUAAACGAUGUCGAUUUGGAGGUUGUGCCCUUGAGGCGUGGCUUCCGGAGCUAACGCGUUAAAUCGACCGCCUGGGGAGUACGGCCGCAAGGUUAAAACUCAAAUGAAUUGACGGGGGCCCGCACAAGCGGUGGAGCAUGUGGUUUAAUUCGAUGCAACGCGAAGAACCUUACCUGGUCUUGACAUCCACAGAACUUAGCAGAGAUGCUUUGGUGCCUUCGGGAACUGUGAGACAGGUGCUGCAUGGCUGUCGUCAGCUCGUGUUGUGAAAUGUUGGGUUAAGUCCCGCAACGAGCGCAACCCUUAUCCUUUGUUGCCAGCGGUUCGGCCGGGAACUCAAAGGAGACUGCCAGUGAUAAACUGGAGGAAGGUGGGGGAUGACGUCAAGUCAUCAUGGCCCUUACGACCAGGGCUACACACGUGCUACAAUGGCAUAUACAAAGAGAAGCGACCUCGCGAGAGCAAGCGGACCUCAUAAAGUAUGUCGUAAUCCGGAUUGGAGUCUGCAACUCGACUCCAUGAAGUCGGAAUCGCUAGUAAUCGUAGAUCAGAAUGCUACGGUGAAUACGUUCCCGGGCCUUGUACACACCGCCCGUCACACCAUGGGGAGUGGGUUGCAAAAGAAGUAGGUAGCUUAACCUUCCGGGAGGGCGCUUACCACUUUGUGAUUCAUGACUGGGGUG
rnacentral:rRNA from 1 species